CGGUCUGUAGUUUAAUUGGUAAAACAUAGUUCUCAUGAAGCUACCAUUGUAGGUUCAACUCCUACCGGACUGA
rnacentral:tRNA from 2 species